CACCCAAUCACAUAACUUUCCAUGAUAUUCAUAGUUUAGGUAUAAAGUCAUACCAUUCUACUCAAUUCAUUACAACCAUCAUAGAAGAAAUACAAUUUAACAAUUAUGGUUAGUUCUUACGGCUUGUGGAUCCCCUUUAAUGUGCUGCUCCGCCUCAUCCUCACAUAUCACACACGUAAGCUGCUCCGCCUCAUCUCACAUUAUACACUUUUAUAGCCUCUCUAGGCUUUAGCCUCCCAAGGCUUUAUA
rnacentral:lncRNA from 1 species